GUUCCCGAGCCAGUUCUUGCUUCUCCGCCGUCGCGUCCGUCAGACGACACGUCCGUCCGACAUCUGACGACCGCCGCACAGAUUUCACUGACGUACCGUUUGGUCGUCCGUUGCAUUAUUAUUAUUAUUAUUAUUAGUAGUAACUUUUGAUUUUGGUAUUUAUUUUUUCGGAUAAUUAUUAUUAUUGUGUAAAUUCGCUCGUUGCGUCUUUUUUAUUUUUUUUAGUGCUGUUUUUUUUUUUGUUUUUGUUAUUAUUUUAUACUAACUCUUACAGAUUACAUUGUAUCUGCCGAAAUCGUCGUCAAAAGUGUUAUCCUAAUAUAUAUCACACCGUCCCGCGGAUAAAACGAUUUAUCAUUAUGAAUCUGUUCCGGUGGUGUACGUGCCGCCGACCCGCUCUUUACGCACCUUACCGGCGCGGCUGACAGUGACACUCGUGAACCCCACACUCACGGACGAGACAGUCGAUUUUCUUUGCUGAUAAACAAUUUUUUUUUGCGAUUUUUUUUCGUCUCCGUCUUUGAAAGCAUAUUUGUGUCACCACAGUGACUCUGCCCGUGACCCAGCCACCACGUCAAAAUGCCGAAGAUUUUCCUCAUCAAAAACCGAUUGCACCAGCAGCAACAGAAACUGCUGGAAAACCAAAAGGGGAACGCGCACGUUUCCUCCGACCCGCUGGUACAGUCGCUGCAAAACUAUCAUAACGACCACAAUCACCAUGACCGGUUACCGUCACCACCGCCGCCGUUCAUAAAGCACCACUAUCAGCACCAUCACCAGCCUGCGCCGCCACCGCCGCCACCUGUACCGAUAAGGCAUCAUUUGCCGCCUCCACCACCGCCACCACCGCCGCCGAAGCAGCAGCCGCAGUCCAAAGUUGUCCAAGAGUCGCCGGUGUCAAAAACGCCUCAAGAGAAAAAUGUCGCCAAGAAAGAUCUACUGCAGGACGAUGAUGAAGAGGUCGACCGGGUUAAAGGUUUGGAGCGAGAAUCACGAAAUAGAGCAGAGUCUCCAAACCACCGAGUUAGUCCGACGGUGUCUAUUGAGGCUCCUACGCCGAUAAUAUGUCCGCCGUCACCUGACUGGAACCCACCGCCAAAAAGGCGAUUCAUAUCCACGUCAGAUGGCGAUAAUAUACCAUACGGUAGUAAAGAUAGCUUGCAGGUAACUCAUCGGCAAUGUGAACCACCCUCUAUCAAAGUCGAAGAGGAAGCUGUGACUAGCCCGGAGGUUGAACCAAAGUUGCCACCACCACCACCACCACCACCAGCAGUACCAGUAGCACCAAAAUGUCACCAGGUGUCCGUCAUACAAAGAACACCAGCAGCCGUCAAAUCACCACCCGUUUGUCCAAAAAGACCAUUAACACAGUCUCCAAGCACUGUCGUGGAACCCGAACAAGACGCACCUAUCGAUUAUCAUGUGCCCAAAAAGGAAGCAGAUUUGGACUUGGACAUUGUUCGAGCCAUCAAGAAUAAAUUCACUAUUACGUUACGAGGACAGUUGGUUUCAGCACCAAAUGGUAUUAUCACUGCCGCUGCAGGCCGUGGAAGGAGCAGUGGUGGUCAACAAGGGGGAGGCGGUGGAGGAGGUACAAACGGUGGCAGUACCAACUCUAGUUCAAACCGCGGCUCGUCAUUGCAUUCGUACACACUUGGUGGCGGCGGAGGUGGUGGUCCCACUGGCCUCUUGGGCAGUGGCGGCGGGGGAGGUGGCAUGGCCCCAGGUGGUGGCGGCAUGAACCCUGGCGGCAACGGCAAGCAUUUCGGUGGACCAAAUAGUCCUGUGUCGCUGCCGCCCUUCCACGAGAGCCUUAUAAAAUCGGGCGGAAAUUGCUAUUCCGCCCAAUACAACAAUCAAUAUCAUUUGAUGAUGACCGAUCAAUUAUGUUUCAAUAACAACGACACGGGUCAAAAUCCUGUGGCUGGUGGUGGUGGUCCUUUCUCCAUUGGAUUGGAAGGUCCACCGAAACAAUAUUCAAUGUUACAAAAUGCCUCUUCGCUAGGCAUAGACAUUAAAGAGGACGAUUGUGAAGAUCUAUCAAGCUACGUAAAGGAAACUAACGGUUUCGACACGUUGAUGGCUGAUUCUGAAAAUGGCACAUCCAACGAUCCUUUGCAGUUCACUGCUACUCUUACUUUCGCGGGUCCCACGGACCCCGACUUCUUGGACAGCCUUAACGACGCCGCUGAAUUGUUCUUCAAAGAGCCCCAAGAGUGCAUUCCUCCUUCACUCGUCGAACAACCUCUACAUAUGUUCAAUGAACAUAGAAACGGGUUUCCUGAAUCACAACCAGAGAAGCGCAAUUAUCUACAGCAGGUGAACAACAACAAUAACGGACAGCCAGUAGCAUGCAGAAAUAACUAUGGAAGUUAUGAUAUAUCAAAAGACAGAUUAUCACAAAGCAGUUUCGAAGACUCCAACCAACAACUGCAACAGUUACAAAUACAAGUGCAAUUACAACAACCACAAAACGUAGACGCUUGUGGACAGAUGAUGUUGUCACCGGGUUUAUCGUCGCUAGAGAUGGACUCAAACACCAGCAUGUCGGCUCCGUCACCUGCUAGCGUUAGUAUGGAUGGUACUAUGUCUUCACUAACGCCACCGCCUCAAAAUGGCAAAGAUUCCAGUAACUCCGCUUUGGAUGUCAGAGUACUGCAACAUAGGGUGAGAAAGACCACCCCACCUGUAGGGAAACCAAAAUAUUCUUCUUUCUCCAGUAAAUCGAUGGCAAAACUCGGACUUCCUAAUGACUUGCCAUUCGAGUUUGUCAACGGUGGCCAUGGCAUCAAGAAUCCAUUAGCCAAUCACGAUACUCUACCACCACCGCCGCCAUCAAUGCUAAUUAGAACACCAGAACCAGAGAGGAGCAAUACUUUAGUAGCUCCUGCAACAAUCGUAUCAGUAAAUUCUACUCCAGAACCAGUCGAAACAUCCAAAAACGGUUCAAAGUUCUGUUGCAACCUGUGUUCCAAGACGUUCAACCUACAACGUUUGUUAAACAGACACAUGAAAUGUCACAGUGACGUCAAACGAUACCUAUGUACGUUUUGCGGAAAGGGUUUCAAUGACACGUUUGACUUGAAACGACACACUAGAACACACACUGGUGUCCGGCCUUACAAGUGCAAUCUCUGUGAGAAAUCGUUCACCCAACGUUGUUCACUCGAAUCUCACUGCUUGAAAGUGCACGGCGUACAUCAUCAGUAUGCUUACAAAGAGAGAAGAACAAAGAUGUACGUUUGCGAAGAAUGUGGACACACCACCAAUGAACCAGAAGUGCACUACAUUCAUCUCAAAGAGAAACACCCGUACAGUCCGGCGCUGCUCAAGUUCUAUGACAAGAGACACUUCAAGUUCACAAACUCCAACUUUGCCAACAUGUUGCUUCAAGUACGCACCUAAUAUUGGGCUGAUUGCAAUCAUAUUGCUAGACUGACCAAAAUGUUAAUCUAUUUUAACAAAUAUUUUUAAGUACUUACACUACGUAGAACUUAAUUUUUUUUUUAAUAACAAUUUAUGCUGUAUCAUUGUCGUUUGAUUUUCUAAAAAAAAGGUUAUAGGAAAUAAUUUUGAGUAGAAAAUACGACAAAAUAUCCCCGCUUAAAUAUCUCUUACAGUUUUGUAACGUCUCAAUAUUGAAAAAUCUUUUUGUAUACAAUUUAAAACCCAUUUUACCGAUUUGACUCUUUAUAGUAUUUUAAGUUUUGAAGUAGGCCUUUUAGUUAUUAUUAUAGUUGGCCAAUAACGUAUGUGUGGUUCUUAGCAUAGAAAUCUUUGAAAGUCCGCACUAAUUUUAUGUCAAGGUCUCUGUACUUUUUUCGAUUUUAACUCUCCUUGAUGGAUAUGGGUUUUUGUUGAUAAAUCUAUGAACAUUUAUUAAAUGUAUUUAAGUUAAAAUACAAAUUGAAUAAUAAUAACAGUAGUAGAAGUACUUCUUGUACAACUAAUACUGUUCUUUAUUAUACAAUAAUAACAUAUUUUAUAACAAUUCAAAUCCGUAUUAAAUUAUAUUAUUAUUUUUAAGUUAUACCCUUAUAAAUAUAAAGAUAAAGAUAAAUGUUUGUAGAAACAUUUUAGUUAUCUUUAACACCAAAUCCACAAGACUGUUAUAAUCGAAUACUAGGUAUUGUAACAGUAGACACUGAGAUAGGUACUUGUUAGUACUCACUUUUAAAACACCCAAUCUAAUCUUUAAUAUUUUAUAUUUUUCCUGAAAAAAUUGUUUUGAUUUAUGAACAAAAGAAGAAAAAUAUUGGCCUAAAAAUUAGCCGGACUAAAUUUUUUAUGUGAAUUAUAUUGGUCGAUAUAGACGUAAUUUCUUCGAUCUUCGAAUAGCAUUAAAAAUUAUUUCUGUAGCAAGAAAUAGAACAUCUAAUAGUUAAUUGUUCGGCGUAUUUCAAUCAUACAUGUGGGAGAAUUAAAUUGUAUUUGAAAGAUUUGUUCUUAAAUUUAAUCCGUACCAAUUUAUAUAAAACAAUUAAAUUAAUUUCAAAAACAUUUUAAAAUUAAUCGUAGAGGUUUUUAAGCGAGUUCUAUAAAUAAUAAAAAUUAAUAAUUAAUGGUCGUUGCAUAAUCACUUCGCAUUAACAAUUGUAUGCUUUGCGGUAUUUUUAAGCAGUGCAAAACACGUAGACAGUAGUGUAAUUAUCAGAAAAAUGACUAACCAACUAUUCAUUAUCUCAUAAAAUUGUAUAACAUAAGUGCAUGGGCGGAUAUUCGGUUACAUCGUGGAUGGCUUGAUAUGUAUAAUUAACAUGGAACCAUUGAUAAGCUUCAAUUCAUUGGACUUUAUGAGUGGAAUUAAUAAAUUCUAGUGGGCAUAGCCCUCGUCCCCACAUGCUUCCCAAUAUCCGCCGAUUAUAAGGUGAUGGUGAUUUGGUGGUUUAGAUGUACAUGAUCUACUGUGGUUGAAAUAUAAACUUACGAACCCAAUUCCAUAUAUCUAUGGACAAGAAUUCAUAGAUUAAAUAGUUAUUUUCUCAAAAUAAAAUGAAUAUGAUUUCAGCAUCAUUAAGGAUUAUUCCUAUCAGUCAGUCACAGUCGUAAACCAUACCUUUUAUAAUGACUCUACAAAGUUGUUUUGCCUACUCUUAUUAUGAAAAACAAUAACGUAAAAACGCAAAAACUUGUCUAUGUUAGACGUAUGGUUGGGUACCCAAAAUGUCCGAUAAAUUCAAACAAAUUUAAUCACUAGUUCUAUGCUGGUCUGGAUCUAAAAGUCGUAUCUGUAUAUGAUAUAAUGUGUAUAAUUAGUGGUAUAUUUGGUGUAUAAUUCAUGUGUAAUUAGAAAUGUAUGGUUAUUAACAAGACCCAUUAGGUAUUUAUUGUACAUCUAAUAUAUGGCACGUACAAAGGGGGCAAAGCGGCCCCUUAGCCUGUUCUGGAUCCACGCCUGUUUCUAUCCAAUUUCAUCUAAUUUAUUUCUUCACAUAGCUGAAACGUUCAACAAAGUACACGUACCUACCUUAUAUAUCUAUAAAAACGAAUGCAAAAUAUAUUUGUAUUUUAAUAACAUUAUUUUCUUUCUAAAUAACGUUUGUUUUUUUUGCUACAAAAUUUUAAAAAUAGCGUGUAGUUACCGAUUGUAGCAUUGUUGUAUUUAUAUUAGUGCCCUCACAUAUACAUAUCAUCCGGAAACUUUUUGGUUAGGCCUUAAUCUACUCCCCUGCCGAUCUUAUUCUAGUACCGAUCAAUCAUUACGGAAAAUGGGUCAACUCGUAAAAUAGACUAUCAAUUAAAUAUUUAAAUGGUUUGGUUUACGCACUGUGGUAUUCAUCAUUAUUUUUCUCGUCCCCACCAACUAUAUUUAACUAAAGUAGUGAUACACUCAUACUCUCUUGCAUGAAAAUAUUAUCACAUAUUAUUCAAUAAUACCUAAUAUUAUAAGUUUGUAUGAUAUUACAGUGACAUCUUCUUGAUGUAAAAGUAUCGGUCAGGUCAGGUAAAUCUGUCCACCGAGCUUUAGGAUCUUCACGCAAAAAUUCAACUCACCCCAUUUAAACUAUUACACAAAAUUGCACAUACGUCUGAUUAUAAAUUACAUAGUUUUGCAUUUGAAAAACGUCAUUAUGAUCAAACUGAUUUUCACUUAUUAUACAGUUAUACCAAUUAUGUCCUCUGACAAAAUAAAAUGUCCUUUAAAGCCCAUGAAACGUAUAUUGAAAAAUGUAAAUCCAUGAAAACAUUUAGUACUUAGGCUACUAAAACUAUAGUAGGUAACUACAACAUACAUCAUUAUAUUACACUAAAAUAUUCAAUUUAAGUUCUAAGUAAUUUCCGUGUUACAUUCUGAGUAUUAUAUUUUACGCGUCCCACUAAGACAUUUUCGGUGGUAAUAUUGUCGGUUCGAUCAUCGAGAGCGUGAUUACAAUUUACAAGUUUCUAUAGAAUAUUCGUCAAUUUCACUAAGAGUGCUUGGAUGAAAAGAGUUCAAAUCGUUAUAUUUUAUUAUUAUAACAGAGUUACGGUAAACCGUAAUGGCAUCAUUUGUGCGUGUAAGUCAUAUUAUUCGGAUUAGUAGGCGACUACAGCUGUAGUCGUGACAUUCGUUCCAUCUGUGAUUUUUAUAAUUUAUUAUUAUUCAAAGAGGUUUAUUUUAUUUAUUCAUACAGCAUUUCAAAGAGUUAGGUUAACUUAAUAUGGACAGAGAUAUUAGUAUCGGUGAUAUUCUGAUUUUAAAAAACGUGAUGGAACUAUUAGAUAUGUACCACUCACGUCCAGUCCUUUUAAAUAUUUAUCGGAAGUGUGUUGAAAGUUGUUUGAAUGAGAGUAUAAUAUAUGUAAGUCAGACUCGACACGUCGUUCAGUCGUUGAUAUUGUUGUUUUCUAAUAGAAAUGUUGAUAUUAUAAUAUAACAUUGUGUGUUGUUGGGAUUUUGUAAAUAAUCAUUACUAUAUUGUUAAAUGUAGAUUUAAUUUUAGAUUUAAGUAGUAUUUAUUAGACACACUCACACAUGCGCACUCACAUAUUUAUAAAUAAUAUACACUUUUACUAUGUAUAUUGUGCUUAGUUUAUAAUGUUAGCUUUAAGAAAUUAUAUUAGGUACAAAGGUGAUACAGAUCAAUAUAGUGUGAUUUGUAUUAUUAUUUAUUAACAGUAAUCAUUAUGGUCGUAAUUAUCAUAAUUUUACUACAACGGGCGAUUUAGGCAAUUGUUAUUUUUUAAAUAUUUUUUUUUUUUACUUUUAUAAUCAACGACAGUUGUAAUACAGUAUUACACCUAUCCGAACAUCGGUGUUUUAAAAUUUCAUAUGCUUCGAAUGAAAAUUAUUUUCUUUUUGAAACCUUUCUGCGAAGUAUUUCGGAUAUUAUUUUGAUGUAUCGGACUGCAGUACCUAUAAUAAUACGGUCGUAUUAUAAUAUAUUAAUAGAAUCCAAUGUAUCGGAAGGUCGACUGUAUUACGCUGAAUGCACAUAUUUUUAUAUAUUGACAAAUUGUGUACAUAAACUUACUGUAAAGCAAUAUUAAUUUAGGUAUACCUAGACUAUUACAGUUUCUUAAUUUUUGAUGGUGGAAUUCCUAGUUACACAAAUUUCAUUAUAAACGAAACGAAGCUUGUAUAUAUAAAUAUAAUAAAGAAAAAAAGUACCUCAUACCAAAAGUCUUCUAAAAUAUCGUCUUGAUGGCCGUAGUGAUGAGCAUAAAAAUGUUGACGCGACGCUGAAAGGCUUCAUCCCAAAGAGUUUAUAACCCGCGAAGGACCAAUUAAACAUUGAUGUACAGGUCUAACGAUUAACGGCACUGCUUGUGGUAUAUGGGCUCUCAUUAGACAAUAAUAUAUAUUAUGAUAUAAAUAGCGUGUAAAUAAAAUUAUAUAUAGUUGUUUUUUUUUAAAUAUAUUGACGAAUAGGAUUGUGUAGAGUAAUAUUAUGUAGUAUUUAAAAUAAAUCACUUUCGGGUCGGGUAGUGAUAUCCUAAAACAUUUUUUUUACCUCAGUGGAUGGAAAUAAAUUAUUUAUAUAUCAUGUUAAAAUAUACGAUAGUUAUUUAAGUACGAUUAAAGUCUAAAAA
rnacentral:misc_RNA from 1 species